AACUUUUGACAAUGGAUCACUUGGCUCUCGCAUCGAUGAAAAACGCAGCGAAAUGCGAUAAGUAAUGUGAAUUGCAGAAUUCAGUGAAUCAUCGAAUCUUUGAACGCACCUUUCGCCCUUUGGCUAUUCUGAAGGGCAUGCAUGUUUGAGCAUCAUAAACAUCUCAACUCUCACGGUUACCUGUGAUGAGAUUGGACUUUGGGGGUCUUGUUGGCUUGUGUUCAGCUCCCCUCAAAUCUAUCAGCUUCCCAGUGUUUGGCAGCAUCACAGGUGUGAUAAAUAUCUACGCUUGUGGUUCUUUGCCAGGUCUGUCCUCUCCUUGCAGAGGGCUCACUGGAGCUCAUAGAUGUCUCUCCUUGGUGGAGACAGCUGUUUGAAGUUUGGUCUCAAAUCAGGUAGGAUUACCCGCUGAACUUAAGCAUAUCAAUAAGCGGAGGCU
rnacentral:misc_RNA from 1 species